rnacentral:rRNA from 1 species
UACGUAGGGGGCAAGCGUUGUCCGGAAUUAUUGGGCGUAAAGCGCGCGCAGGCGGUCAUGUAAGUCUGGUGUUUAAUCCCGGGGCUCAACCCCGGAUCGCACUGGAAACUGUGUGACUUGAGUGCAGAAGAGGAGAGUGGAAUUCCACGUGUAGCGGUGAAAUGCGUAGAGAUGUGGAGGAACACCAGUGGCGAAGGCGGCUCUCUGGGCUGUAACUGACGCUGAGGCGCGAAAGCGUGGGGAGCAAACAGG